AGUUUUCUUUCUUCUU
rnacentral:sRNA from 1 species